CUGUAAACCAAGGAAUCCAGGUGGUCUCUAUAAUCCUGAAAAGAAAUCAUGAAAUGAUCACACCAUGAAACCAAAAGAAACCAGCACCAGCAUAGAAGAGUCACAAAGGAUAGAGGGCUUCUCAUUUGUCACUGCUUUCCAUGAACGAAAGGAUCAGGCGCAGUUCAACAUUGUCACUUAUAAUAAGCUCCUUGACCAUGGAAACCUGAUACACA